GUGGGGAAUAUUGGUCAAUGGGCGAAAGCCUGAUCCAGCAAUGCCGCGUGAGUGAUGAAGGCCUUAGGGUUGUAAAGCUCUUUUACCAGGGAUGAUAAUGACAGUACCUGGAGAAUAAGCUCCGGCUAACUCCGUGCCAGCAGCCGCGGUAAUACGGAGGGAGCUAGCGUUGUUCGGAAUUACUGGGCGUAAAGCGCACGUAGGCGGUUACUCAAGUCAGAGGUGAAAGCCCGGGGCUCAACCCCGGAACUGCCUUUGAAACUAGGUAACUAGAAUCUUGGAGAGGUCAGUGGAAUUCCGAGUGUAGAGGUGAAAUUCGUAGAUAUUCGGAAGAACACCAGUGGCGAAGGCGACUGACUGGACAAGUAUUGACGCUGAGGUGCGAAAGCGUGGGGAGCAAACAGGAUUAGAAACCCUUGUAGUCC
rnacentral:rRNA from 1 species